UAUCUCUGUAGAGUCUGCAUAUCAAUAAGCGGAGGAAAAGAAACUAACUAGGAUUCCCUCAGUAACGGCGAGUGAAGCGGGAAGAGCUCAAAUUUGAAAUCUUCAAGGUUCUACCUUGACGAAUUGUAGUUUAAAGAAGUGUUUUCUGUUGAAGUUUCGGUAAAAGUUCUUUGGAAUAGGACAGUCAUAGAGGGUGAGAAUCCCGUAUUUGACCAGUUAUUUCCAGCUGUGUGAUACACUUUCAAAGAGUCGGAUUGUUUGGGAAUGCAGUCCAAAAUGGGUGGUAAAUUUCAUCUAAAGCUAAAUACUGGCGAGAGACCGAUAGCGAACAAGUACCGUGAGGGAAAGAUGAAAAGAACUUUGAAAAGAGAGUUAAACAGUACGUGAAAUUGUCAAAAGGGAAGCGUUUGACACCAGUGUUGUUUUCUCGAAAAUCAAUUAAAAAAGGCAGGAUUUUGUGUUGUAUUGACUUUAUCAGCUUUCUGCACUCUUUUCUUGUCUUUUUUUAAUGCACUUUUCGUUUAACAAGUCAACAUCAAUUUCUUUUGUUGUAAAAGGGUCAUUGGAAGGUGGCUUUCUUUUCGGAGAAAGUGUUUAUAGCCUUUGGCCUCUGCAAUCGGAGAGAUUGAGGUCUGCAGCGUAGAUCCUUCGGGGAUUAGAUACAUUUGUGCUAAGUUAUAGCCUUUCAUAGACAACUUGUUGACUAUGAUCAGUCAUGUAGCUUACUCGCUUAUGCUAUUUUACCUACGCUUAGGAUGUUGAUAGUCACAGCGUGUAC
rnacentral:rRNA from 1 species